UACGGGGUGCUGCAACUUGUUGUGGCUGAGAAUAUACCCUUAACAACUUGAUCCGGAUAAUGCCGGCGAAAGGAUAAGAUUAU
rnacentral:ncRNA from 1 species